UACGGGGGGGGGCGAGCGUUGUUCGGAAUCACUGGGCGUAAAGGGUGCGUAGGCGGGUCUUUAAGUCAGAGGUGAAAUCCUGGAGCUCAACUCCAGAACUGCCUUUGAUACUGAGGAUCUUGAGUUCGGGAGAGGUGAGUGGAACUGCGAGUGUAGAGGUGAAAUUCGUAGAUAUUCGCAAGAACACCAGUGGCGAAGGCGGCUCACUGGCCCGAUACUGACGCUGGAGGCACGAAAGCGUGGGGAGCAAACAGG
rnacentral:rRNA from 1 species